GUUCCCUGCCCCAAGAGAAGUCUGGAGUGGGGUACAUGGGAAUGGCUGGGGUAAACCAUGUGUCCUGAGAGCCCAGUAGCUUUGCCAAAAGUCAGCCUCAUGCUACCAGAGGUCCAACCCCUGGUACCUCCGCCUGACCUCCCGGGGGUCCAGCACCCUACAAACCUUCGGUUCUGCAGCCUGCCUUGGGCCGUGGUGAUGGAGCCAAGAUUGGACAUAGAAAAGCAAAUGUCUGGGUCAGGUAUUGCUAAUAUGUCCAUUGUGAUCAGAAGUUCACCAAAGUGCUUCGCUGGAUGGAGAUUGGUUUCCCAGUGUCA